rnacentral:lncRNA from 1 species
GAUGAUACGCAAGCCUGAUACCCUCCAGGCUGAAGGGAGCUCCGGGGACAGGCCUUCCCAGGCUCUUCUGAACCCUGUGGCCUUGGACUUUCCUUGCCUGGGCAUCACCCUAGCUGGCCACCAGAAGAAACUACUGCAUAACAUCCAGCUCCUCCAGCAGCACCUGAGGCAGCCAGGCUCGGUGGAAGUGUAAAGCCUGGUCAGCAAUCUGUGAGCUGCCGCUGAUGCCCCAACCCAGCCCUGGCCAUAGGGUGGAGGAGGGGCGUGUGAGACUGAGCCAGACUCUAUUCCAGCCUCCAUGCCUGCCACAUUAAACCCAGCCCUCUGGACAUUGCACCCCCAAAUCCUGCUCUUCCAACAGCCUCCCCCAUAUUAAAGGGAAAGA